rnacentral:lncRNA from 1 species
CCUGCCUUGGCCUCCCAGAGUGCUGGGAUCACAGGCGUGAGCCACCGCACCUGGCCAUGAUAGCUUGGCUUUCAUAUCUCUGCCUGGCAGUGGGUUUGGGAUCUUCAUAAUCCAGUUCAGCUUGCUGCAACUCAAUUAGACUCCAAUACUUAUUGAUUGCCCACUGUGUGCUAGCUAUAGGACUGGGUGCAGGGGAAAUAUGAGGAUUCCCUUUAAGGAAUCCCUCUCCACCAGAGGGACAGGUGUGUGCAAAGCUCUCUUUGUUGCAGAGAGAUUGGAACUACAGCAAAGGUAUGAACAGGUGUCACGGGGACACAGAAGAAAGAGCAGUUACUCUUCCGGAAGGUUGGAGAAGAUUUUGUGAAGGUGGGGAUGUUUGAUUUGAACCUUGAAGAACAAGCAGAGACCCAAGAAGUACAGAAGAGGGGAGGUGGAAAUAGCAUGAACGAGGUGGGGCAUGCAAAUUCACUUUCAAUUGAUACAAUCUUUCACGUCAGAGCUGCUUCUUGUAACACAGAAGUUUUCAGAUUCUAUGAAAAGGUAUUGAAUGAAUUGAAGGCUCUGUUAAGGGGGCAACUAUCUCCCCUCCCCAUUCUCCUAUCAGCCCAUAAAACAGGAACUGACAACCUCUUGGAAGAAUUGGGAAGGAACUUUUCGAUUUUCUCUGUACAAUCUUCACUGGUUCCUCUCUGUGAGAGGAGGAGGGACCUCUUGGAUUGGUGUCGUUGGGAAAAGGGUAUCAAGUGUGCAUGGCUCAGCCUGUUCCUGGCUCUCUCUCUGGGACUGACCUGACUGCAAGCAGCAUGUUCUCUGUCUGCUCCUGCCUCCUCCAGGCAAUGAGCACCAGGGCGGGUCCAGCCCUUGCUUGGGAGGACUUCAAUAGUCCAGCUGCUCUGCCGCGAGUGGGUGAGUGAGUUCAAGUCAGAGGAGAAGACACAGAAAGCUCAUUUGGGCCUUGGGUCUUAGCCACAUCCUCCAGUCCAUCUGGACUAGCAAUAAAGCUGACAUUUUAAUCCCUA